AGCCGCCGCCCGCCGCGGCACCGCCGGUAACGGCCGGGGCGGGAGCGGCCGCAGCCCCGCCGCCCCUCCGCAGCCCUCCGCCCGCCGAGACCCGCGGAGCUGCAGCCGGAGGUGAUGUGAACUAGUGUGCGGCAGAAAUUUGGACUGGACGAUGAUCACCAGAGGUCCCUUGAGAACAUCUCUGCCGGGGCUGCUAUAGCGACGCGGAGGACGCCGGCGCCGUGCGGAGCCGCAGGGACGGAGCCCGGACAUGCCCUUCUCCCAGCGCACCUACCACCCUCCGGCGGCCGGGCCCGACGCGGGGCCGGUGGUGUUUCCCCCGUUCCAGUUCCGCGGGCGGCACGAGAACCCGGACUGGCGGCGGCUGAGCACCGUGGACGUGGAGCGGUUGUCGCGGGAGGGGGACGUGUCGGCCCUGCAGGCGCACCUGGAACAUGUCACCUUCUGCAGCGCCGAGCGGGAGUGCUGCCCGCACUGCCAGGGCCCCGCAGACCCGCUGCUGCUGAAGCUGCUGCGCCUGGCGCAGCUCUCUACCGAGUACCUGCUGCACUCCCAGGAGUACCUCAGCGCCCAGCUCGGCAGCCUGGAGGAGGCCCUGAGAGAGGCACAGGCCCAGCGUGACCAGCUGGGCAAGGAAUUGGUCCAGCGCUCACAGGAGAUCCAGGAGCUUAAGGAGGAGUGCCGGCGGAGGAAGAAGAUGAUCAGCACCCAGCAGAUGAUGCUGGAAGCACGAACCAACUACCACCAGUGUCCAUUUUGUGAAAAGGCUUUUAUGACCUCAUCAUAUUUAAAAAGUCACAUUCAAAGGCGUCACCCAGAAGAGUCUGAGAUCGAACAGAAGAAGAAAGGAAAUAUAGAAAAAUUGCAGGAUGAGAUUGAAAAACUGAAGGAACAGUUGCAGCUCACCAAGUCCCAGUUAGAGUUUGAACAACAGGCUAAUUUGGCCAGGUUGUCUAAGGAGUGUGACCAGCAAAAAUCAAAAGAAGAAGAGUUUCUACAAUCAUUUCAUAAAUGGAAAGAUGAAGAAAGAGAGAAAUUUGCUGAUCAAAUAGAAAAAGUGAAAGAUAUGUUUACGAAAGAGCUUAAGGACUUGCAUUCAAGAAAUUCAACCUUAGAAAAUCAACUGUUAGAAUUACAAAAGUCCAAUAUGCAACAAAAAUCCAAUUUAGGAAUACUGAAAGACAGCUAUGAAUUUACAGAGGAGAAACCUCAUCAUCUUCACGAUCAUCCAUAUGUGGUUAGACUUCUGGAAAAACAGGAAAAAAAGUGGAUGUCUUGUAUGCAAGCCAAGUGUCAUGACCAUGAGGCAGAAACGUCCCUGCUGCGGUCAGAGGUUGAGAACACCAAAACAUCAGCAAGAGAAGACCUGAACAGAAAUAACAUCUUUUACAGGAAGAGGAUAGAAGAAUUAGAGCGGAAGAUUCAGGACCAGAAUGAUCUGAUUAAUAAUCAGAAGAAGCAGAUAAGAGAACUGUCCACAAAACCAGCUCCAAGUGUUAAAACAUAUGAUGUGAACACUCCUGUAGAGCGUCUUCAAGAACCUAAACCAAGUCCAUCAGUUCCUCCACAUGAAACUGAGAAAAGUGAUCUAAAACCAGACAGAAGUAAUAGCUAUUUAAUAAAUGCUCUGAAGUCUGAUCCUUCUUUAACUAAAGAAUUGCGAGUUGUUUUGGAGGAAGCUCUGGAGGAGAAGCUGGAAUCCUUGGGAAUUAAAGCAGGUGUUCGUGGAAUAUCAAGUGAUCGCUUAAAUAAAAUUUUGCGAGCUAUUGAAUAUGCCAGAGAGCGCAAAGAGAAGCAAGAGCCCACCAUUCAUGGAAUUCGAGAGCAUCUUCAACGUCAAGUUGGCCUUCGGGUUGAAGAGAAAUCAUUAUCUUGUAGCAGAGCUGGUUGCUGUGCUCAGCUUCUUGGCGAAGAAAAACACAGGUUCAACCCAUUGGGAAUUUCUUCAUUUACCACACCUCAAAAACCAUCAAAGUGGUCUCCAUCAGCUGUCCGCCCACCUGGACAAAGAAAAAUCAUCCCUGAGUAUAAUUCUACACCAAAAUCCAGGAAAAUUCUUGGAAGUGGAGCUUCCAGAAAGACAUCUAGCAUCACAACACCACCAUUCAGUUCAGAGGAAGAAGCUGAUGAAGAUGAUAUGAAACAGUCUUAUGUAACACCAGAGGCAUUGCAAAAGCAGUCAAAACCAUCAAGCAGCAUAGUCCAUGCUUUUCAGAAGCCUUUUGGCAAAAGCAAUGGGGAUGGGAUGGAGGAAAAUGGACCUCAAGAAACUGGAACACCUGCCAAAACUUCUAAAGGAACAGUUAUUCAAAAACUGACCAAACAAGUUGGAGAGAGUCUUUCUAACCAUGGAAAUAAGAACAAACCAGCUGGAGGAAUUAAUGUUGCACAGGCAUUUAUUAAGAAAGAAGGAGUGAAAGAACCAAAGCUCACAGAAGCUGAUGAAGAUGAUUGGGAUAUUUCAUCAGUAGAAGAAGACGUUUUAUUGAUGAAAGAUGACAGAGGUCAGAAGGCAAUGACAGUUGAGAAAAACGAGCCCAAUGCUGCAUCUGUGGUACAUGCAUGGGGCCUUUCCAAGAAAAGUGCACCAAAGGAGGAAGGCCUUCAUGAAGCUGAUAAUACAAGCACGUUAAAAAGCAGCUUAGUCACUGUAACAGACUGGAGUGAUUCUUCAGACAUAUAAUUGUUCCAUUCCUGAUUGGAGGUCCUGCUUUUGGGUUCUGCUGGGGUUCAAAAUGCAGAAUUACUGUUUUCAGCUAUUGAGAAGCAGAAUAUAAUGCCACCAAUUAUGCAGAGUGAAGCUCCAGCCCAUCCAAUGAACAAAGCUGCUCCUAAUUCAUACCUACAAGAAGUUAAUAAAUGUAUUUAACAAAAGAG